AUUGAACGCUGGCGGCAUGCCUUACACAUGCAAGUCGAACGGCAGCACGGGAGCAAUCCUGGUGGCGAGUGGCGAACGGGUGAGUAAUAUAUCGGAACGUGCCCAAUCGUGGGGGAUAACGCAGCGAAAGCUGUGCUAAUACCGCAUACGAUCUACGGAUGAAAGCGGGGGAUCGCAAGACCUCGCGCGAGUGGAGCGGCCGAUAUCAGAUUAGCUAGUUGGUGAGGUAAAGGCUCACCAAGGCGACGAUCUGUAGCUGGUCUGAGAGGACGACCAGCCACACUGGAACUGAGACACGGUCCAGACUCCUACGGGAGGCAGCAGUGGGGAAUUUUGGACAAUGGGCGCAAGCCUGAUCCAGCAAUGCCGCGUGCAGGAUGAAGGCCUUCGGGUUGUAAACUGCUUUUGUACGGAGCGAAAAGGCUCUCUCUAAUAAAGGGGGCUCAUGACGGUACCGUAAGAAUAAGCACCGGCUAACUACGUGCCAGCCGCCGCGGUAAGAC
rnacentral:rRNA from 1 species